CUCAGGAUGAACGCUGGCGGCGUGCCUAAUACAUGCAAGUCGAGCGAACAGACGAGGAGCUUGCUCCUCUGACGUUAGCGGCGGACGGGUGAGUAACACGUGGAUAACCUACCUAUAAGACUGGGAUAACUUCGGGAAACCGGAGCUAAUACCGGAUAAUAUAUUGAACCGCAUGGUUCAAUAGUGAAAGACGGUUUUGCUGUCACUUAUAGAUGGAUCCGCGCCGCAUUAGCUAGUUGGUAAGGUAACGGCUUACCAAGGCAACGAUGCGUAGCCGACCUGAGAGGGUGAUCGGCCACACUGGAACUGAGACACGGUCCAGACUCCUACGGGAGGCAGCAGUAGGGAAUCUUCCGCAAUGGGCGAAAGCCUGACGGAGCAACGCCGCGUGAGUGAUGAAGGUCUUCGGAUCGUAAAACUCUGUUAUUAGGGAAGAACAAAUGUGUAAGUAACUAUGCACGUCUUGACGGUACCUAAUCAGAAAGCCACGGCUAACUACGUGCCAGCAGCCGCGGUAAUACGUAGGUGGCAAGCGUUAUCCGGAAUUAUUGGGCGUAAAGCGCGCGUAGGCGGUUUUUUAAGUCUGAUGUGAAAGCCCACGGCUCAACCGUGGAGGGUCAUUGGAAACUGGAAAACUUGAGUGCAGAAGAGGAAAGUGGAAUUCCAUGUGUAGCGGUGAAAUGCGCAGAGAUAUGGAGGAACACCAGUGGCGAAGGCGACUUUCUGGUCUGUAACUG
rnacentral:rRNA from 1 species